AUUGAACGCUAGCGGGAUGCUUUACACAUGCAAGUCGAACGGAGUGGCGGACUGGUGAGUAAUAUAUCGGAACGUGCCCAGUAGCGGGGGAUAACUACUCGAAACAGUGGCUAAUACCGCAUACCAUCGGAGCGGCCGAUAUCGGAUUAGCUAGUUGGUGGGGUAAAGGCUCACCAAGGCAACGAUCCGUAGCUGGUUUGAGAGUAAGACCAGCCACACUGGAACUGAGACACGGCCCAGACUCCUACGGGAGGCAGCAGUGGGGAAUUGUGGACAAUGGGGGAAACCCUGAGCCAGCCAUCCCGCGUGUAUGAUGAAGGCCUUCGGGUUGUAAAGUACUUUUGACAGAGAAGCGGUAUCUGCAGAAUAAGCACCGGCUAACUACGUGCCAGCCGCCGCGGUAAUUC
rnacentral:rRNA from 1 species